AACGCUGGCGGCGUGCCUAACACAUGCAAGUCGCACGAGAAAGGGUAGCAAUACCUGAGUACAGUGGCGCACGGGUGAGUAACACGUGAAUCAUCUACCUUCGAGUGGGGAAUAACUGAGAGAAAUCUCAGCUAAUACCGCAUAAUACCUACGGGUCAAAGCAGCAAUGCGCUUGAAGAGGAGUUCGCGGCAGAUUAGUUAGUUGGCGGGGUAAUGGCCCACCAAGACGAUGAUCUGUAUCCGGCCUGAGAGGGCGCACGGACACACUGGAACUGAAACACGGUCCAGACUCCUACGGGAGGCAGCAGUGGGGAAUUUUGCGCAAUGGGGGAAACCCUGACGCAGCAACGCCGCGUGGAGGAUGAAAUCCCUUGGGAUGUAAACUCCUUUCGAUCGGGAAGAUUAUGACGGUACCGAUAGAA
rnacentral:rRNA from 1 species